rnacentral:misc_RNA from 1 species
GCAAACUUGGUCAUUUAGAGGAAGUAAAAGUCGUAACAAGGUCUCCGUAGGUGAACCUGCGGAGGGAUCAUUACUGAGAAAGGGCCUUCGGGUCCGACCUCCAACCCCAUGUUUUCUAUCCUUGUUGCUUCGGGGGACGAAGCCGCCUCGCGCGGUGGACGCCCCCGGAGAACCACUAAACUCUGCAUCAUUUGCGUCUGAGUAUUAUUUUGAAUAAAUCAAAACUUUCAACAACGGAUCUCUUGGUUCUGGCAUCGAUGAAGAACGCAGC